AUAUUAUGAAAUAUUUUAUAAACUGUGGUUGAUUGUUGAUUAUACAAUGGAUUUACAAUCAUAUAAUAUUAUAUUUUUAAUAAUAAAUAAUAAUAUUUUUUAAAUAAUUUUAUCAUAUAAUUAUUUAAUAGAACAUAGGAACAAAAUAUUCUCGUUUGUGGUAACAUAAUAAUAACUAAUAACUAUAAUACGAGAGAUCAUAGUCAUAAUUAAAUAAUAUAAUAAUAAUAAAUUGUUAAUAUUUAAAAAAAUAAUUUUCGAUAAGUAGUCUAUACAAUCAUGAUAAAAUUCAAUAAUAACUUGUAGGCUAUAUCUAUACAUAAAAAAAUUAAAAUGAACUUAACUGUAUAAUAAUGAUAUUUAACUAUAAAAAGCUAAGUUAAAACAAUACAAAAUUUAACUGAAUAAGUUAUAUUAAAUUAAUAAGUUUGAUUAAACAAAAAUAACUAACUAGUUAAGUUAAAUGUUAAAAAAAUUAACUUUUUAAUAAGUUAAUGCCCACCAUUGCUAAAAACGAUUCCUCUAUAGUCUAUGGCAUAGACAUUUAAUUAUAUUAUUAUGUCUAUGGUUGGAAGCAACGUAUUUAUUUCACGUUUUAGACUACGGACACUGAACAGUAGUUAGUACUUUAGUACUGUAGUAGUUCGUGUUUUAGACCUAAAAGCCUGACAAGAAUACGUAUACUUAAAAUCAUCAUAUUUCAAUUCUAUAAAAAGAUUAACACACACAUAAAUUCAGUAUUACAAGUGACUAUCUAACAGUAUUUCUCUUGAAAUUGAAAAGUUGGCGGGAGAAAAGAAAUGUCAAAUAUUGUCACCUAGCUAACUCUUAAAUAAAUAAAAUGGUUUUUUUAAAU